rnacentral:rRNA from 1 species
CCAUCAUUUAAAGAAAGCGUAAUAGCUCACUGGUCGAGUCGGCCUGCGCGGAAGAUGUAACGGGGCUAAACCAUGCACCGAAGCUGCGGCAGCGACACUAUGUGUUGUUGGGUAGGGGAGCGUUCUGUAAGCCUGUGAAGGUGGCCUGUGAGGGUUGCUGGAGGUAUCAGAAGUGCGAAUGCUGACAUAAGUAACGAUAAAGCGGGUGAAAAGCCCGCUCGCCGGAAGACCAAGGGUUCCUGUCCAACGUUAAUCGGGGCAGGGUGAGUCGACCCCUAAGGCGAGGCCGAAAGGCGUAGUCGAUGGGAAACAGGUUAAUAUUCCUGUACUUGGUGUUACUGCGAAGGGGGGACGGAGAAGGCUAUGUUGGCCGGGCGACGGUUGUCCCGGUUUAAGCGUGUAGGCUGGUUUUCCAGGCAAAUCCGGAAAACCAAGGCUGAGGCGUGAUGACGAGGCACUACGGUGCUGAAGCGACAAAUGCCCUGCUUCCAGGAAAAGCCUCUAAGCAUCAGGUAACAUCAAAUCGUACCCCAAACCGACACAGGUGGUCAGGUAGAGAAUACCAAGGCGCUUGAGAGAACUCGGGUGAAGGAACUAGGCAAAAUGGUGCCGUAACUUCGGGAGAAGGCACGCUGAUAUGUAGGUGAAGCGACUUGCUCGUGGAGCUGAAAUCAGUCGAAGAUACCAGCUGGCUGCAACUGUUUAUUAAAAACACAGCACUGUGCAAACACGAAAGUGGACGUAUACGGUGUGACGCCUGCCCGGUGCCGGAAG